rnacentral:rRNA from 1 species
AGCGAACGCUGGCGGCAGGCCUAACACAUGCAAGUCGAGCGCCCCGCAAGGGGAGCGGCAGACGGGUGAGUAACGCGUGGGAACGUACCCCUUGCUACGGAAUAGCUCCGGGAAACUGGAAUUAAUAACGUAUGUGCCCUACGGGGGAAAGAUUUAUCGGCAAAGGAUCGGCCCGCGUUGGAUUAGCUAGUUGGUGGGGUAAUGGCCUACCAAGGCGACGAUCCAUAGCUGGUCUGAGAGGAUGAUCAGCCACAUUGGGACUGAGACACGGCCCAAACUCCUACGGGAGGCAGCAGUGGGGAAUAUUGGACAAUGGGCGCAAGCCUGAUCCAGCCAUGCCGCGUGAGUGAUGAAGGCCUUAGGGUUGUAAAGCUCUUUCACCGGAGAAGAUAAUGACGGUAUCCGGAGAAGAAGCCCCGGCUAACUACGUGCCAGCAGCCGCAGUAACAC